rnacentral:lncRNA from 1 species
CAGGUGAUCCAUAUGCAGUGCAACCUGGAAAGGAGUGAGGACAAGGCACGCUGGCAUGUGAGCAGGGCCCUGGGCUGGGCUGGGAAAGGAAGGGCCUGCCAACUUUGACUUGGCACCGACCACACCCUCCUGCCCCAGCUCACAUUGCUUCUGGUGCUGGAGGACAGACUGCACAGGCAGCUGACCUACGACCUGCUUCCAAGUAGGCGACUGGGAACCCCAGGCUGCAGGCCUGAAGGCGGGUGGUGGGCAGUGGUUGGUGCCACAGCCUUAUGAGUUCCCAUGUGCCCUUGUUGCAGCGGACAGCGCCCAGGACCUCGCGGCUGAGCUGGUGCACUACGGCUUCCUGCGAGAGGUUGGCAGGGUGGGGCGUGGUGUGGCUUGCUGGGAGGGUGCAGGGCUGCUCUGCCGCGGGUCCCCCAUGCCUCCCUCCCCUCUUUAGGAUGACCGGUUGAAGCUGGCCAUCUUCCUGGAGACCACCUUCCUCAAGUACCGUGGGGCCCAGGCCUGAUCCUUCCAGCCCUGGAAGCCCUGCCCUGGCUCUGCUGGCUCAGGGCUGUCCCUGUGGGGAAGAGUCCAGCACUUCUUGGAGUUGCCUUUUGCCUGCUAGCCUGGGAGCUGAUGAGCACCUGCCCUGCUCGUGAGGAUCCCUGGCCUCCUUCAGCAGCAUGGGACCCUGAGGUGGUGGUUCAGUGGCUGAGGCAGCCAGCGUGGGAGUACAGGGUGGGAUCUUCCAUGGACAGACCUCCACCAGGGGAAUCACUCCAUCACUCUGGGUUGAACAGCCAUCCUAAGUUGGCACCACAGACCCAGGCAGGGUGCCUGGACCUCAUAAUGUGAUGGGGCCCCUGCAGCUGUCAUAACCAGUGCUGGGCAUCAAGCAGGGCCAGACCCGGCUGGAAAGAGGGUAAAGAGCCUGGAAUUGAGACCAUGGUCAGCAAAGCCCCUGGUCCCAUGCAGAACAGCCCUGAAGUCCCCCUCUCUGACCUUGCUCUGAGACCAGGAUCUGGGGCUCUGGCACCAUCACCAAUACCCCGCUCCUCUAAUGGGCUAUUUCUCUCCUGUAUUACCUGGCAUGGAGAGGUCAGAGGUCAGGUGUCCUCCCAGACCUCCUCCCUGGAGCAGCUGUAUUCUGGGCCUGGAGAUGUGGGCUUCUGUUUCUCUGUCUCUGUCUCCCACCCAACUCCUAUCUGGAUUUUAGAGGUUUCAUUACUUCCAUGGAUUCUGCCUCCACCUCCAGCGCCCUUUCUUGAACUGCCUCUCCUCCAAUUUCAAAUUCAGCUAAAUGAUCUCAAACAUUUUAAAUUGUAUGUAUAAAUUUAAUGUAUUCAGGUUUCUGUUUAAGCAUUUCAAAUGUCAAACCAGGAAGGCUCACUAACUGUAUUAGUUCUAUAUUGUUGCUGUAACAUUUAUCACAACCUUAGUGGCUCAAAACAACACAAGUUUAUUAUAAUUAUGUAGGUCAGAGUCUGAUACGAGUCUCACUAGACUAAAAUCAAGGUGUUGGCAGGUGGUGUUUUCCUAGGUUGGCAGGUGGUGAAGAUCCUAGGGGAGCACCUGCUUCCUGCUCAUUCAGGUGUUGGCAGAAUUCACUUCUACACAGUGGUGGGUCCUGUUUUCCUGCUGGCAGUCAACUGGGGACCACUCUCCAUUACCAGAAGCAGCCUGCAUUCCUUGGCUCUCCUUCCUCCACUCAAAGGCAGCAGCAGUAGGUUGAAUUUUAGCGUGAGCCAGAUAUCUGGUUGUCUAAAGCCAGGAAGGUUCUCCAUAAGGACUCCUGCCUGCAAUUGGGUGGACUCCCCCCAGAUAAUCCAGGAAAAUUGCCCCUCUCAGGGUCUCUAAGAUUAAUCACAUCUGCAGGCAUAUAUUUUGCCAUAUUAAGUUAAUCCACUGAUUUGGGAAUGGAUAUCUUUGGCAGGGGGCAUUCUCCCUACCAUACCCCCUUAACCAAAAGCCCAAAACCAAACCAGAUUUGCCAAGGCAUAUCAAAUAAAUUAAAUGAACAACUAUAAUGAAUCUCAAGUUAUUUUAAACAUUCUAGUACUCUUUACAAAUAUUUUCAGAUUCUCAUACCUUUCAUCUUAAAAUUGCAGAUUUCAAAUAACCUGCACAUUCUAGGAGAGAAUCCUGUUGCUAAAAUGAUUGUGCAUAGUCUUCAACAGUUUGAGUGGCAAUCACACAACUGAUCUGAACUUAAAAACACCGAUACUAAAGUUGCUGCAUUUAGUCAUGCCUACCUGAGUUUUUAAUGUUAAGUUCUAUCUUUUCAGAAUUAUAUGCAUAUUAUUUUUAAAAUGGAAUGGUAUGUGUGAGGCCAAUAAUAAAUGCAGUCUCCUACCCUGACUUUCCCCCCGUUCACCACUCUUAGCUGUUUCUGCAGACAUUCAGAACCCACAUUUUUCCACCCUCAAGCACACUUUAGUCCUAUGUAUUGGUUGUUCUACAUGAGGUGUCUCCAGGUGGCAUCCUCUGGAGGAAGGAGUCCUCUGCCUCUGAAACAUCACCCCAGUGUGAUGGGCAUUAUAGUUCUCUGGGUGUGAGUAAGCUUCAUUACCAAAAGUCUCCACAAAGAACAAGGUAUCCUAGUCUAGGUUAUAUUUUCUUUCUUGUACAACCUUUUCUGUUUUCCCUGGAGUUAAUAAUUGUCUUUUUUUUUUUUUUUUGCUUAGUUUUCUGAUAUGUAUGCCAUUAAUUCAUUUUUAGAUUUCCCCGUGUAAGUGUGACUCUCCUCUCAAUACUCCACAAUCAAGGCAUAACUGACUAGUUUCUUCUUCCUGGAGUCCCCAACUUGUUCUUGUAUUCUGGCCCUACUGUUAGCCUGGGUCCCCUUCACCAGGGUCCUGGAGCCCUUACUCUGUGACUGCAUCCCAUGCUUUCCUCUUCCUUUGCUGCCCUGAGAAGCAACAUCUUUCAAGUUGCCUGGGAGAGGAUGCAUGGAAGAUUAUGGGUUCUUUCUCUGUUUGUCCUUAUUCAGACCUCACACGUUUUUAAGUGUAUCUGGAUACAAGAAGUUUGAUUUGGUUGAAAGUCACCUGUCCUAAGAUUUUGAAGGUGUCAUGUCAUUUUCUUCUAGUUCCAAGAACUCUCCAUGCCUCUGUGAAUGCUGGCCCUUUGCCUACAAGCUCUUCUCUCUCAUUUUCUCUCAAUCUUUUCUUUGCCCCAGUAACUGUUUCAUCCAUUGUCCAGAGAUGAAAAUUUUCUUGAAUUACUUCUUUCUUUAUUUUCCCCUUUCCUUAUAUUCUGGACAAUUUAUUGAGAUGUCGGACACAUCUUUUGAGAGAUGCAAUCAUGUGUCUAGGUGCCCGGGCUCUGAGCAGAUCUGCUGCUCCCUGCAGCAUGAGCUCAGUUGUGCCUGUACUUCCUCAUCUGGAGCAGUGGAGGGAGACCCUCUGCAAAGGGUCACUGUAAGGUUGGCAUGAGCUCCUGUGUGAGAAGCCAGAACAGUGUCUGGAACCAAGCAUCUGUCCCUGAAAGCUGCCCCCAGACAGUAGUGCUUGGGGCUCCCCUGGUGGUAGUGGUGAGAUCCAGCCCCAGGUUUCUGUGCCUGGAGAGUACUGACUUGCUCUGAUUAUGAUACUUGACAUUUUCUAGCUAUCUGGCUUUGUUGUUAUGCAUUCUGGAAGAUUUCAACUUUAUCUUUCAAUCCUAUAGAACUGCUCAUGUCCUUUUCACAUUUCUCUUUUUUCGGGGGGGGGGGGCAUGUACCAAGGAUUGAACUCAUGGGCACUCAACUAUUAAGCCAAAUCCUUAGCACCCCCCCCUUUUAAAUUUUAUUUAGAGACAAGGUCUAAGCACCUCGUUGUUGCUGAAGCUGUCUUUGAACUCGCAAUCCUCUUGCCUCAGCCUCCCAAGCUGCUGGGAUUAUAGGCGUGUGCCACCAGGCCCCUCUCACAUUUUUUCAUUUGGAAUCUCUCUCUCUGUCUCUCUCUCUCUCUCGUUUGAUUAAUCUUCCUCCACAGAAAACCUGGGAGAGGAUGCAUAGAAGAUUAUGGGUUCUUGGUUUUUGGAUGUGACAUCUCUGAGGAUGUCUGAGCUUCGCUUUCUUCCUCUGCUCCUCUCCUCAUCCUCAAAUGCUGUGAUUCUGGACUGGCCAGUUGCAUUUAAGAGUAAGGUAUCCUUCGUGCCUGGGGCUUGUUAUCUGGUGAACUUGGAGGCCAGGCGUCUGGCUGGCAUUCUACUAGACACCCCAGCUGCUAAUCUUUUCUUUUGAGCUGCUGCAGAAAGAAGAGUCUGUGGAGGCUGGUGCCACAUGUGGGGAGGCCAAGCUUUGAAAAGGAGGGUAGAGGAGGUAGGGGAAAGGGCAGGAGUCUCACUGCCCCACUUUCAGAACAGGGCCAGGCCUCAGUGCCCCUCUCCUGGAGCCCCAAAGUACCUGUAAGCCCUGGAGGUAGGGACGGAGGCCUGGAUUCUUCUCAGAUACUGACAUCCACAAUCCAGUCUGCUAAAGUAGCUCUGCUUCCACCCUUCCCCAGCUCGGCGUCCCACACCCUUACCCUCGUGUUAUUUGCCUUUUUAACGCUACUUUUCUGUCAUUUUAGAGGGGUUUCAGGAGGGAGGGGAGGAAAUUAUUCUGCCAUAUUUUACUACAGGUGUCUAUAUUCAAUUCUAAAAUUUUCCAAGGUUGGUAAGAGACCUUAGCCAGGGAAGACACUUUGUUGCCUUAGAUAGCUGAAGAUGCCUGAAUUUACAGAAGUGGUUUCUUCCAGGUAUAUAACUGAGUUGAGGUUUUGGGACUGAGUACAGCCUAUGGCAAAUGUCAGGCGAGCUCUUCACACAGUACAGAUGGACACGUGGGCACCUUUAAACGUAGCUCAGGGCUUACUGGAACCUCCUUGCAUACUGUUCCUACAGGAUAGGCUCCUGAGCCAUCUUCUGGAAUGCAGGGCCACCGACUGCAUGUCAUUCCAUCUAGGAAGCAAAGCACCCAUUCAAAUCACUAGUAAGGAAAACAGGCUGACAAUUAAACGGAGUCUCCUGACUUCGGAGAUGUUACAAUGCAAAACGAUGCUUCUCAAAACCAGUGCGGUCUCAGCUGUCCACGCAGACUCCCUCGGCCCGGGGGUGGACGGACCGCUCUUUUCCCCGCCACCUCACGGAGAGUAAGCGGACGUCUGGUGCAGUUUGCAGCCGGCAGAGGGUGAGUGGCGGAGCUGGGCGUGACGCAAGCCUGCGCGCAGCGGACCGCCUCUCCCCGCCCGCUCCUCCAGUGAGCCCCGCCCGUCUCGAGGCGCUCACUGUUCCUCGCCUCCCGGAAGCGCGUUCCUCCCUCCACGUCGCAGGCACAAAGUCGUUAUCGCGAGAGUUUCUAUGCCGGCGCCCAGAUCGCGCGAGACUGCGGAAGAAGCGGGAGCGUGUGGCGCGCGCGGCGGCCGCGACGGACGCAAGAUGGCGACGGCGACCAUAGCUCUCGUAAGUGAGCCCCCCACGGCCGCGGGCGGCCCUCGACUGUUGGGAGCGGGUCUUCUGCCCGGCCAGUGCGCGGAGGGCCCCCGGAGACGCGGCGGUCUCCCCGGGCCCCGCGCGGAGCCCCUGCAGCCGUGGGGCGCGCGGGGCGGGGGCGGGGCGGGCGCGCGCCAGCGGCGGGCCCGCGGCUGCAGCUUCCGGCCCGUGGACUCCAGCUUCCGGCGGCGCGGCUGGUGGGCCGGCCCGGCACCGGCCUAGGGUCGCUGGCGCGCAGUGCGCCCACGGUCCCGGCGUCCGCUCCCGGAGUGCGCCCCGGCGCGGUGGAGCGGGAGGACGGGCCUCGGCUUCCGCCGGUGCUCUGCAAGGAAGCGCGGCCGAGGAGGACGUCCUCCCUCGUCGCACGUCUCCGGGCAGUCGCUCUGUCCCACGCUCUGUGGGAGUCUUUGGAGCGCAGUGAGGAACCAGGCAGAGGCAGUCACCGCCUCGGUCCGCGGUCUGGUGGCACCAGUGACCGCCUACCCUCCCGGUGCCUGGUGCUGGGCGGCCGAGGGAGUGUGCUCAGGUUGCGUGGGCGCUCAGAGGAGCCCCUCCCUGCUCCGCUCUGCCCGCCUCCGCCGGCGCGGAGGGUGCAGGAAGCGUUAGUGUAGAGGGAGAGCCCUGUGCACAACACCGACACCGCCGCCCGUCCUUCCCACUUGGCCUAAGCUGCCCUCCGCUCCUGGACCCUUUCCCUCUGCACUUCACCCCUUUGUUACCUGCUAUUCUCCCCCAGCCUACACCCGGAGGGAUGGGCUAAGGUCUGUUUGAGGAGGCACCUUGGUCGGAUCCAUAAGAUCAGGGAGUGCAGGGGGGGCUGCCGUUGACAGGCUCUGAGCUGAAAGUUGGGGCAGAAAUUGUAGGAUGCCUCAGCGUGUGAGGUACAACCCAGUGUGUGAACCUUACAUCAUGGAUAACUUUCUACCCUGCCUUGCUGUUUCUUGAAGCCAUAUGAACAAAUGAAGCCAGAGGGCUGAGGACUUGAUGCUUGUCCUUGGGCAGCAGUGCAAGUUGAUGGCAAAGGAGAGGGAGGCUCUGAGACAAGGAUUAGAUACCUGGGAAGGUGUAAGAGAGUGAAUGGCUCAGCUCAGGGGGACUUCGGGGUGAGCUGGGGUUCAGCUCUAUUAUGGUGCAAUGGGAGACAGGUAGUGUCAUUGUUGAGAUGGACAUGGGCAGCAAACUGGGGUUUUCAGUGGGGUGUUUGUUGCCCUUGAAAUCUCCCAGGCUUGCGACAGCAAGCUCUGGAGGUCUGACAACGUUUCUCUUUUAAUCUUGUAUUUGUGUGUGUGUGUGUCUGUGUGUGUGUGUUUGGUGUAGAUGAUUGAACUCAGGGCCUUUAAGCCCACUCUUCCACUGAGCUGCACCCCCAUUCCCCGCUGUGCAGGCUAGGCACAGUGAGAGCCUGUUCUCACUGUCAUGGUGCUUCAGCUUUUGUGGGAGGGCGAAUGGAGUUGCUGAAAUGGGCUGAUACAGUUGGGGUAGGGAAGGAUGCAGAAGAGUCUCAUCUCUUUGGACUUUCUGCUGCCUUGUGUUGCAGAAACAGGUCAGCAGCCCCUUUCCAACAAGGCUCAUUUUUAUUGCAUUGUCUGACUUAUUGUUUCAAUCUUCCCUUCUCUGCUGCCAGACCUGCUUCAACUUGGGGUUCAUCACCUUGGGUUUUUUCUCGCUUCCCCAUGAACAGUCAUCUUCUCACAAAGGCCCUCCUUGGCUGCUAUAGCUUAAUAUGCCUCACACUUUUCAUCUUGUGUUUUUAUUUUUUUUUCUUAGUGUUCCUUACUACAGAAAUCAUCUUAGAUGUCAACUGCAUGUUGUUUGUCAGCACCUGACCACGAGACUCCAGAGGAGUUGUUUUUCUCUCCCCUGUUGUGGUGCUCAGCACUGAGUCUUGUCACAUAGUGAGAAGCAUGGUUCCAUAUGAAGGGACCUGAAUAGAUGGCAGAUAGCCUUCUCUAGCCAGCCCCACUCUAGGGGUCUGACCCUGAUACUGUUAACAAUGCUAAUUGCUGCAACCUGUGGCUUUCUUUCCAUGUGCAGGGACUGGCUACCUAAAAUACUUCAUUUCAGAGAGACUCAGUAAAUCUUCAUGGCAACCCUAGAAGAGAACAUUCCCCUUUACAACUAGGACCUAAGGCCUAGAUACAUUAUGUUAUUUGUCCUAAGUCACUUAAAUUUUUUUUAAACUAUAAUGGAAAUAGUUUGUUCUGGGCAGAACUGGUGUUUGCACCCCAAAGAGGGGACUUCCUGUCCCUCGAGGUACUGUUGCCUGGUGCUGGGGAACAUUACGUCUUCAAAGCAUGCCAUUUUCAUUGCCAGAGGGUGACAGCAUAUGACUAGAUACGAUGAUAAGUGACAAUUUUCUUCACACUUUUUUUAGUGAUUGGUUAGAAUAGAACUCUGGAUUCAAUAUGAUUAAAAGCUUCAUUCUUCCAUGAAUGGGGUGAACAGGGUGGGAUGUCCUGUGGAAUAUCUCCCACUGGACUGAAUUUUUCCAGGAAGUCUCAUGUGAGCUGUGUCCUGCUCUCCGCAGUGUCCUUGUCCACACUGGUUGGUGUAAUUUGGGGGAGUGGGAAGUUUUACAGUGCCCAGGUUUACCUGUUUACAGAUGUCUCUGGCUGCACCUGCAGAAACAGCCUCUGCUCUGUGGGGGGGAAUGUCAGAGGGCCCUCUUUCUUUUGGUUCUCUGGGGUGCUGUUUCUGAGCAGCAGUGGGACUGAGCUGGUCAGUGGAGCAUCUGAAGCAGUUCCAGGCAAGGUGGGGUGUGGGGCUAGGUUGGCCAAAGUGUUGGGGCCCCUUGGCCAGGUCUCCCCAGUGGGCCAGCUGUGUUCUUCCCACACCUUUAGAAGCCUGAGGAUCUGAGUAGUGUGCCUUGGAUGAGUCAACUGGCCUCUGGUUCUGUCUAUGCAUGGUUCCAGGGUGGGCAUAGCCAUCCCUUCUUGUUCUUGAGCAGGGAUCAGGGAGGGGUGCAUUCUACCUUGUUCCUGCUGCACAGCCUCUAAGAACAUGUGAAGGCUCAUUACCAAGUUCUUCCAUCCCCACAAUACUGCCCACCUCCUGUCUGCCCUUGCCAUCCCAUAGGACAUGGCAGUUGCUGUUCUCUCUGGGUGUGGGUCCAAGCUCCCAGUUGCCCUUGGACAGUGUGCUGUUGGGGAGGGAGGCUUGGGCUUGACCAGAGCCUGUGAAAGGACCAGGAGACUGAUGCUAAGCUGAGGGCUGUCCACAUGUGUACAGGCUGCUGCCUCAGGAGGAAGGUAGUCACCUUGUCUUCCAGCCUGGCCCAGUCUGUCAGCAGGAGAGGGUAGCUUUCUUUGGCAUGGGACAGGAGCACCACUUGCUCUCUACCUUUUUCCUCCCUGUCCGUUCGUGGGGACUUGCUGCCAUUCAGGUCUGCCCCAGGGUGCUCUGCUUUCUGCCAGGACCUGGGCAGCUGUUGGUGUGAUCAUGGGUUGAGGAGUGGGCAGUGUAAGUGGGGGUAGUUCUGGGACUAUUCAGGGGCCCAGCUGAAGCUGGACCCUUCCUGUGCCCUUGAAUAGCCUUCCUUGCUCAGCCCUUCACUUGGGAAGAGGAGAGGGCCUGGUAGAGUGUGACUUUCAGUUACAGCAUCUCCUUCCUGCCUGCAGCAGGUCAAUGGCCAACAAGGAGGGGGGUCCGAGCCAGCAGCGGCGGCAGUGGUGGCAGCGGGAGACAAAUGGAAACCUCCACAGGUACUGAUCUCAAGCAUCCUCUCCCUCAGGCCGCCUGUCUGCCCGCCCGCCUGUCUGCCCGCCCGCCUGCCUGCCCGCCUACCCGCCUGCCUGCAUGUCCCUGGGGCCAGAGAGGCCUGGCUAGGGCAGGUGGGGAGAAGCCCAGGGAUCCUUCCCUGCCUUCUGAGCAGACAUCGUCUGCAAGACUGUGGCCCAUCCCUGAGCCUCUCCUGAUCCCUCCCCACCCUAUUUCUGGCCUGGCUUCUCUCCUAUGGGUCUCUCCUGCCUCAAGCCCUGGUCAGGGCCUGGCAGUGGGCUGGCUGGGCAGGGGCAUUGGGUACUGCACUUUAGCUGUGCUUGCUCCUUGCUGCCAACUUGGUGCAGAAGGGGGUAGACUUUCUGUUGCAAGACAGGCAAUGUUUUGUUUAGAGCCAGAAGUACAGAUUUUCAUUUUAGUUUUGUUUUUAUUUAGACAACAAAACAACAUACAAAGUCAAAGCACAAGUGUGGGAAUCCAGCCCCCACCUUCUCUGCAUCCCAGGCUCAGGGUGGGUGAAACAGGUCUUGUCCUGCUCUAGUAAAAUGGCCCAUGGGAGCAAGCCCUCUGGGAAGUGGAGCUGGGCUCUGUUGUCACUGGGUGACAGUUUUCUUUGUGCCUGUCUGUGGCUGUACCUGCCACCAGAGGGUUCUGGCAGGCCUCUUGGGCCUAGUCCCUCCUCCUGGCCCCCAGGCACCCUCAGGAGUGGGACAGGGGUGUGGUGUGUCACCUAGACCCUGGGAAGCUUUGGGUCUGAAGCUCCAACCCCAGCUGCUGUCCAGCAGCCAUUGGUGGGUGGGAGAAGGGCCUUUUGUUCACCAAGACAAAGAGGAGAUUGAAAAGUUUCUAGGGGGUGAGGGGAACUGGCAUUGAUUUCCAUGGUGACAGCCUGCUCUAGCAUUCCAGCUUCUGCUUGGGCCCUCUCCCACUAAGGAGGAAUGGGCUUGGGGCCAGCUGGGAGGGCAAAGAAAGGCCUAGUAUGAGCCAUACUGCAGCUCACCCACUGCCAGACCUUGCUAUAUCUUGGGGCCUGCUUGCAGUUCUGGUUGCCCAGGAAGGCCUUCUAGCCUUCUUACCUUUUGACCUUGGGCUAGAAACCCCGCACUCAGGAGUCCAGGAUGGGGGUCUUAGAGUUUGGGUCAGCUGAACCCUGCUGGCUUUCUUUGAUCCCCAGCCGUUGCUCCCACUCAUGGUCUGGAUUCUUUCCUCUCUUUCCCUCUCAAGGCUGUGUCUGGAAGCCGGGAAGGGUGUUGGUCUUUUGAGUUGGUAGGCAGGCAGGCAGGCUCUGUCCACCCUCCAUCCCACCACCCCCGCUCUGCUGGCUCUAGUGCUGGGCUUCUCUCCCUGCUUGGAUGGCUGUGUCCCCCUGCAAAAACCUGGAAGUGGAUUAGACAAAAGGAAUGUAAACAUGACCCUAAACAUAAUCCACUUAGGUUCGCAGCCUGCUGUGGCGAGCCCACCCCUGCCCAAGUGCCUCCUGGUUUGUUGACGUGGUUGGCUGGGUGCUGUCUCCCUGGGGUUGCUCUGUUCCUGGUUCUCCCAGGGGGCUUAGCACAUCGUGAAGUCUGAUAGAGGCAGGCUGGAGCCCCCUUAGGGCUCAUGUGGCCUGGGAGUGCUUAGACUCUGUGAUGUGUGCACAGGGCCUUGUCUGUAGGGCCAAGGAUGGACAUUGUCAGGAAGGAGGCCCUUUGUCUGUACUUGCUCCUUGGCCGGCCCCUGGAACUCGAAGCUGUGUCUGUGUCCAUAACAGGGGCUGUGAACAAUCUUAAGAGGCCAGGAUGCCAGGUGGCAUAGGAGUAAGGAGUCCCUGAAUGCCCUGAAAAUACCAGCCCUACUCCUCCUUCCCUGGAAAACAGCUAGCCUGGAUCCCCUGCAGGAGGUGGGGUGGAAGCUCUGGGAGCAGUCUGGCAACGAGGGCUGGCUCCUUUCCUAUCACCCCCUACCUGCCUGGGUAGCUCCUAAGGAGUCUUCUGUGGUCUGGGCCCCUUAACUGCUUCAGGAUGGUGCCAGGGCCCCCAGAGUACCCACUUGCCUCAGUCUAUGUUCCACCCAUGGGUCCUGGGGGAGAAAGGCCUAGGAUGGGGACAGCAGAGUUAGAAGGGGGUCCUAUAUCCACGCAGUCAGUAGACAGCCUGGUUUUGGGCUGGUCCCUCCCUGGGAAGAGGCUGGGGAGAUGGAGGGUGGGGUUUCUGGGACCACACAAGGGAGACCUGAGCCUGCUGCUACAUGACUCCCUUGCUUCACCUUCUAGGGCACAGAUUCCAUCAAGAUGGAGAAUGGACAGAGCACAGCCGCCAAGCUGGGGCUGCCUCCCCUGACGCCUGAGCAGCAGGAGGCCCUCCAGAAGGUGAGCACCUUCCUCCAGAGCCUGUGGGCAUGGCUGCUGAGCUGGGUGAGUGGGGGCACACCAUCUCCCUGCGGGCGGGCCCCCCAGUGCUCCUCACUGCUGUCUCUCGCAGGCCAAGAAGUAUGCCAUGGAGCAGAGCAUCAAGAGCGUGCUGGUGAAGCAGACCAUCGCACACCAGCAGCAGCAGCUCACCAACCUGCAGGUGAGCCCCACCACUCUCCCUCCACCCCACUUCACUGUCUCGGGGGCUGGCUCUGCUGGAGGCUGUCCUGCCCAGCCUGGGCCAGGAGGCCUCCACUGCCCCUCCCCAUCACCUACACCAUCUCCUCCUCCUCCUUCUCUUCCUCCUCCUGUGCCUGUGGCCAUCCCCUAAAGGUGUUAUGAUUCUCAUACUCUCAAGGACUCAUUCUCAAGAUCCCAGGGUCCUCCCUGAGGCUCCAGCGGCCCAGCUUUUCUGCCUGUUGCUCACUAUGGCCCCUUCUCACCUGCCUCCCUGCUCCUUCUCUGUAGCUCUGCCCCAUUCACCCUUGGGGUCUCCCCCACACCCUUGUCCCCCAGGCUGUGCACAGCUAUAGUGGCACUGUGUAGGGUAUGUCCUCCCUACCCCCAUGGUCAGGCCCCACCCUUCUGCAUCCAGACCACCUGGGCUGGGACCCAGGACUGAGGGGACAGUCUAGGGGUGCCUCACUGGGCCAUGCUCUAGACUAGAGGCUGUGCUUUCUGUGUGGGGCCAGUAGGUUCCUGGGCCUUGUGCCCUCCCCCUGCCCAGGCCAGUCCUCAGACAUUCACGCUGCCAGGAGAUGUCCUGGCUGUUCACCGUGCUCCAUCAGUCCCUCUCCUCCCUCCCUCCCUUCCUUCUGCCCUGGCCAGUCCUGCUGCAAAGUCUGCAGGGCAGGGCACCUGGGGCUCUGCGGCCCCCCUGGGCAGGUGCCGUUGCAGUGUGGGAAGGCAGGCGGGCCUCCCUGGCAGGGCGGGGACUCCGGGCCUGGCCGCUGUCUGCGUGAGGUGUUGACGAGAGCGGGAGACUGCUCGGCUCCAACAGACUGAACUCUGUCUUUACUGUCUUUCAGAUGGCAGCAGUGACAAUGGGCUUUGGAGAUCCUCUCUCACCUUUGCAAUCGGUCAAUAGAAAUGCUCACUUCUUCCGGGGCUCAUGUCCUUAGUCAGGGCUAGAGGGGGGCAGUGCAGCCCACUGCUGGGGACCUUGCUCCCCUGGCCGGCCCUGCCCGUCAGCUCUGGACGAGCACAGCAGAGCGCCAGGCAUGGCGGGGCCAGUGGUGUGGGCACCCACCCCGGGACCGCCCCUGGGGAGGCCUCCAUCUGCUCUGAGGGCCCGCCUUAAAACUAACCGGCCAGGUAACUGCAGAGGGCAGCCGCGGCAGCCAGCCAGGGAGGGUAGCUGCCGGUGCCAGGCUCGUCUGUGCCCUGCUGCCCCACGCAGGGUGCACCACGGGCCACCAGGUCGCCAGUCUCCAGGCUGCCUAGGCUCUUGGGUUGGGCUGAAGACCCUGAGGAGAGAGGGGUCCUGACUUGUGGCCCCAUCAGACCCUGGAGGGAGGACGGAGGGGAGGUGGGGGGUGGGGGGAUGAGUGAGUGAGAAAGGGAAGGGCGAAGAUUUGGGCCAUGGGCCUGGGCUGUCAGCAAGGUCUAGAGGCCAAGGAGGAGGCAGAGGCCAUAGCUGCGGGGCUGCAGCAAGCAGAGUCUUUUCCUGCCCCACAGGCAGUCUGAGGCGGCCAGACACCAUCCUGGGGAGGAUCCUGAGGGGGAGAUAUGGCCCUUUCUCUGGGGGCCAUUUGGAGGACUUGGGCCAAUCCUGAGCGAGCUUCCCUCAUUGGGGAGACACUGUGUGUCAGAAAGGCAGCUGUCGACCCUCUGAAGACACCUGGGCUAUGGGGGUUGUGGUCAGGGAGAAAGCUGUUUGCCCACCUGUAGAUGGGGAGUCCCACCUUGAAGGGGAGGCAUGGCCCUUUCUUGGGGAACAUAGGCCUGAGGGACAGAUGGGGCUUCAUCUUGAUGUAAGCGGAAGCCUGGGGCCUAUUUGUUAGGGAACCCAGUUUGAGGAGGGAAGAGUCAAGUUUUCAGAGACUUGCUAGUUUGAGGGAAGGUCGUCCCAACCAUGGGGAGUCUGUGUUGGGCAGCUAGACUCUAAGGGAGGGGCCAGGCCUGUGCCAGGCUUUUUGACACAGAUAGGAGUAAACUGGUCUCUGCUGGGAACCUUCACAAGGGCCAGGGGAGCCCUUGUUCGUGUUCAGGCAGGGUCCUGGGGCGUGUCUUCCUGUGGCCCACAGUGCUUGGCUCUGGAACUCCCUGCCUGGCACAGCUGUGAGGUGGCAGGGGAGAGAUCCCCAUUCUUGAGGGUUCAGGGAGGUUCCUCAACGCAGUGGCCCAGCCCACAACCAAGGCUUGCCAGUUUCCCAGCUCCAGGGAGCCCCAAGGUUUCUCAGUUGGGUUCUCCGCUGCCUCAUGACACUUCUGGGGACCAGGCCAGUGGCUCUUGCCUGUGCUCUUGUGGCUCCAGGCGUAGGCUCUAGCAGCUCUUUUUAGAGGGGAGCGGGGCGUUGGGAUGGGAAGAGUAUAGGUCACUGAGCCCCUGCCUGAGUUGGUCCCGCACGAGCGACUAUUCCUCGUUCUCUCCAGGGAGCCCCCGUCUGGGCUCCUGAACUCCCCUGGGGUUUCUUCUGGGCAGUGGCUGCCCCGUCUUCUGUCACCCUCUCUUCUGGCCUCCAUGCCAGCCAGUCCCUCCAGCUUGGAUGACUCCUCCUUCCCUUUUCUGUUGCAGUACUUGGCUGGGAAGGUGGGAGGAUCUCCCAGCCCGGCCCGGGGUACCUGACCCUGGGACUGGAGGGUGAGCGUGGUGGGAGGGCGCAGAGCCCUGCCUCCUGGCCACCAGUCAGUUUUGCAGCUGCAGUCUGCCUGGGACUGGGCGGGCUGGGCUCGUCUGUGUACUGCUGUUGGGCCUGGCCUUCUUCAGGGUGGGGUCCUGCUGACCCCUGUGCCCUGACUUUAGGGGCCAAGCCUGCAUCUUGCUGCUGGGUGGGGAUCACUCCCCACCGCAGAGUUCAUGGGGCAGGUGGGUGGGCCAGGAGGGGAGAGGGCUGCUAAGCCCCUUGCCUGCCUCCCUGACAAGCCAGUGGCGCUCUCUCCUUCUGUUCUGCUAUAGAUGGCAGCUCAGCGGCAGCGGGCACUGGCCAUCAUGUGCCGGGUCUACGUGGGCUCCAUCUACUAUGAGCUAGGGGAGGACACCAUUCGCCAGGCCUUUGCCCCUUUUGGCCCCAUCAAAAGCAUUGACAUGUCCUGGGAUUCUGUCACUAUGAAGCACAAGGUGAGCAGACUAGGUCUACCCCAGUUGCCUUGGCCUACCCUCCUUGGGGUUCUUCCAAGCCUGAUAGGGUUUCCUGUGUCUAGGGCUUUGCCUUUGUGGAAUAUGAAGUCCCAGAAGCUGCACAGCUGGCCUUGGAGCAGAUGAACUCAGUGAUGCUGGGAGGCAGGAACAUCAAGGUGAGGGUGUGGGUGCAGGUGUUGGGCUUUUGGGCCUUGAGAAUGUUCUGUCUAGUCUCCCAGAUGUGUCGAGCAACCUCACAGAAGCCUGCUGUGACUAAGUCUGACAGGUGCUCUCGGUCCCUUCCCCUUCCCCAGGUGGGUAGGCCCAGCAACAUAGGGCAGGCCCAGCCCAUCAUCGACCAGCUGGCUGAGGAGGCACGGGCCUUCAACCGUAUCUACGUGGCCUCCGUGCACCAGGACCUCUCGGAUGAUGACAUCAAGAGUGUGUUUGAGGCCUUUGGCAAGAUCAAGUCUUGCACACUAGCCCGGGACCCCACAACUGGCAAGCACAAGGGCUACGGCUUCAUUGGUGAGCUGGGGGUGCUGAGGAGAGGUGGGGGCCCACCUGGUGCUGGGACUGGCCCUCCUCACUGCUGCUCCUGCCCUGCAGAGUACGAGAAGGCCCAGUCGUCCCAGGAUGCUGUGUCCUCCAUGAACCUCUUUGAUCUGGGUGGCCAGUACUUGCGGGUGGGCAAGGCUGUCACACCCCCCAUGCCCCUGCUAACACCUGCCACCCCAGGAGGCCUUCCGCCUGCUGCCGCUGUGGCCGCAGCUGCAGCCACAGCCAAGAUCACAGCUCAGGUGAGGGGGUGGACAGGUGCUCUAGUCAUUUGGGAGCCAGCUCUUGAUAUGGUCUUGGGUGGAGGUAGCCAGACUGGGGACUGAGUGUGGUUGCCUUCUGGGUUGCAGGAAGCAGUGGCUGGAGCAGCUGUGUUGGGUACCUUGGCAACACCUGGACUGGUGUCCCCAGCACUGACCUUGGCUCAACCCCUAGGGGCUCUGCCCCAGGCUGUCAUGGCUGCCCAAGCUCCUGGAGUCAUCACAGGUGAGUCUGAGUAGGCCAAGGCUCUCCAGGCAUUCCUGCCCCUCAUUUCUAGGCUCUCUGCCUUCACCUGCCCAGGGUGGGCUGGCCAUGGCGACCAGCUCUGCUUCCUGCUAAGGUGGGGGUUGUGGGGAUAGCUGCUGGACCUGGUUGGUUUUGCUGCAGGUGUGACCCCGGCCCGUCCUCCCAUUCCGGUCACCAUCCCCUCUGUGGGGGUGGUGAACCCCAUCCUGGCUAGCCCCCCAACACUGGGUCUCCUGGAGCCCAAGAAGGAGAAGGAAGAGGAGGAGCUGUUUCCUGAGUCUGAACGGCCAGAGAUGCUAAGUGAGCAGGAGCACAUGAGCAUCUCUGGCAGCAGUGCCCGCCACAUGGUCAUGCAGAAGCUGCUGCGCAAGCAGGAGGUGGGUGAACAGACCCUGGGUCGGGAUGUAGGGGUGGGGAACAUCUAGGCAGGCCACAGUGCUCAGCUGUCUCCUCCCCACAGUCCACAGUGAUGGUUCUCCGCAACAUGGUGGAUCCCAAGGACAUCGAUGAUGACCUGGAAGGAGAGGUGACAGAGGAGUGUGGCAAGUUUGGUGCUGUCAACCGUGUCAUCAUCUACCAAGAGAAGCAGGGUGAAGAGGAGGAUGCAGAAAUAAUUGUAAAGAUUUUUGUGGAGUUUUCCAUGGCCUCAGAGACUCACAAGGCCAUCCAGGCCCUCAACGGGCGCUGGUUCGCUGGCCGCAAGGUGGUGGCUGAAGUGUAUGACCAGGAGCGUUUUGAUAACAGUGACCUGUCUGCGUGACCUUGGGCCAGUUUUCUGGACUUGCACUUGUUCCUUGUUUCCUCUGGGUUUUAUAGUGAUAAACAGUGGUGUCCCUGGGACCAGGCACUCGGCUCUACCAAGCCCAACCUGUAGUGUGCAUAAAGUGCAGAUGCUGCUGGCCCUGAGCAUCCCUGUGUCCGGUGGUCC